CACAAGUUUUCUUGCAAUGGGAUCCUAACAUUCCACCAUGCUUCGCAGCCUUGGCACCUAUGCUGGCUGGCUUUGCGCUAGCUUGAUCUAGCCCCGGGAGAACACUGCUAUUCUGGCGUCACCACCUGUGCUGCAUGAUUGCAACUCGGAGUCAUAGUGGACGGCUCUGAUACCAUUAAUAUGAAUUUAGGAGAACCAUACCCUAAAAGCUAGCUAUUGAGG
rnacentral:misc_RNA from 1 species